AAAAACGGGAUGAAGCCGAAUUCUCGGCUUCAUCCCGUUUUGGUUCCAAAAUCUAGAAGGAAU
rnacentral:sRNA from 1 species